rnacentral:rRNA from 1 species
GACGAACGCUGGCGGCGUGCCUAAUACAUGCAAGUUGAGCGCUGAAGGUUGGUACUUGUACCCACUGGAUGAGCAGCGAACGGGUGAGUAACGCGUGGGGAAUCUGCCUUUGAGCGGGGGACAACAUUUGGAAACGAAUGCUAAUACCGCAUAAAAACUUUAAACACAAGUUUUAAGUUUGAAAGAUGCAAUUGCAUCACUCAAAGAUGAUCCCGCGUUGUAUUAGCUAGUUGGUGAGGUAAAGGCUCACCAAGGCGAUGAUACAUAGCCGACCUGAGAGGGUGAUCGGCCACAUUGGGACUGAGACACGGCCCAAACUCCUACGGGAGGCAGCAGUAGGGAAUCUUCGGCAAUGGACGAAAGUCUGACCGAGCAACGCCGCGGGAGUGAAGAAGGGUUUCGGAUCGUAAAACUCUGUUGGUAGAGAAGAACGUUGGUGAGAGUGGAAAGCUCAUCAAGUGACGGUAACUACCCAGAAAGGGACGGCUAACUACGUG